rnacentral:rRNA from 1 species
GUGGGGAAUCUUGCGCAAUGGGCGAAAGCCUGACGCAGCCAUGCCACGUGAAUGAUGAAGGUCUUAGGAUUGUAAAAUUCUUUCACCGGGGACGAUAAUGACGGUACCCGGAGAAGAAGCCCCGGCUAACUUCGUGCCAGCAGCCGCGGUAAUACGAAGGGGGCUAGCGUUGCUCGGAAUUACUGGGCGUAAAGGGCGCGUAGGCGGACAGUUUAGUCAGAGGUGAAAGCCCAGGGCUCAACCUUGGAAUUGCCUUUGAUACUGGCUGUCUUGAGUACGGGAGAGGUGAGUGGAACUCCGAGUGUAGAGGUGAAAUUCGUAGAUAUUCGGAAGAACACCAGUGGCGAAGGCGACUCACUGGCCCGUUACUGACGCUGAGGCGCGAAAGCGUGGGGAGCAAACAGGAUUAGAAACCCGAGUAGUCC